rnacentral:piRNA from 1 species
UGUAGCCUCAUUGUUGGUAUUUCAUUAA